AGCGAACGCUGGCGGCAGGCCUAACACAUGCAAGUCGAACGAAGUCUUCGGACUUAGUGGCGGACGGGUGAGUAACACGUGGGAACGUGCCUUUAGGUUCGGAAUAACUCAGGGAAACUUGUGCUAAUACCGAAUGUGCCCUUCGGGGGAAAGAUUUAUCGCCUUUAGAGCGGCCCGCGUCUGAUUAGCUAGUUGGUGAGGUAAAGGCUCACCAAGGCGGCGAUCAGUAGCUGGUCUGAGAGGAUGAUCAGCCACAUUGGGACUGAGACACGGCCCAAACUCCUACGGGAGACAGCAGUGGGGAAUCUUGCGCAAUGGGCGAAAGCCUGACGCAGCCAUGCCGCGUGAAUGAUGAAGGUCUUAGGAUUGUAAAAUUCUUUCACCGGGGGCGAUAAUGACGGUACCCGGAGAAGAAGCCCCGGCUAACUUCGUGCCAGCCGCCGCCGUAAGAC
rnacentral:rRNA from 1 species